CGGGAGGCAGCAGUAGGGAAUCUUAGACAAUGGGCGAAACCCUGAUCUAGCCAUGCCGCGUGAGUGAUGAAGGCCCUAGGGUCGUAAAGCACUUUCAACAGAGAUGAUAAUGACGGUAGCAGUAGAAGAAACCCCGGCUAACUCCGUGCCAGCAGCCGCGGUAAUACGGAGGGGGUUAGCGUUGUUCGGAAUUACUGGGCGUAAAGCGUACGUAGGCGGAUUAAUAAGUUAGAGGUGAAAUCCCAGGGCUCAACCCUGGAACUGCCUUUAAUACUGUUAGUCUUGAGAUCGAGAGAGGUGAGUGGAAUUCCAGAGUGUAGAGGUGAAAUUCGUAGAUAUUCGGAGGAACACCAGUGGCGAAGGCGGCUCACUGGCUCGAUACUGACGCUGAGGUACGAAAGUGUGGGGAGCAAACAGGAUUAGAUACCCUGGUAGUCCACACCGUAAACGAUGAAUGCCAGACGUCAGCUAGCAUGCUUGUUGGUGUCACACCUAACGGAUUAAGCAUUCCGCCUGGGGAGUACGGUCGCAAGAUU
rnacentral:rRNA from 1 species